rnacentral:rRNA from 1 species
AUGGCCUGGCUGCCCUCCGGCGCGGCGGCCGGCCCUGCGCUGCGGGGAGCGCGAGCCUCUCCGGCGCUGUCGUCGGGGGUGGCGGCCGCCGUCAUGCUCUACAAGCGCGCCCUGCCCCCGUCUUCUCCACUACUCUCCGCCCGCCCGUCCGCCACGGCUCAUAGGUUUUUUUGUCAACUCUUGGAACGAGGGGCUUCUACAGUCUACUUGGGUCGUUGGGUCCAUUCUGCAACAUGCAGUGUUUCUGUAGAUGACAGACCACAUAUAGAGUUAACAGAUGGAUCAAAUGGAGAUCUUGUGCAAAAGCGUGAAAUGGUUGGUGCAUUUCAAAGAAUACCUAUGGUGAUGCCUGCAACUGAUAUACUUAUGUCAGCACAAAGAAAAUCAAGAAAUGUGCCACCCACAAAGGGUAUACAAAACAUAGCCAAGCGUGAAAGAAACAAAGGUGCAAAACAACUUGAUGCCUUAAUGAAGGAACUUUCGGUGCCACUGAGAACUUAUACAGAGAACUUCCCUAGAAGGAGAGAUUUACAUCCUUAUGAGAGAUCUCUCAUUGAGUUGACCUUUGGGGAGGGAUAUUAUGAAAAGGUACUAGGGCGAGUGGAUGCUCUUAGGAAAAAGAUAACUUCUGUCGGGAAGCAACAUGCUUCUGUCUGUGCUAAGUCUUUGACGAAGCGUGAAGCAGAGGAGCGACUCACUGAGGGCCGGAAGGAACUUGAGGAAGUUUUCCAGCGUGGUCAAAAUGCAAUUGAGGAUUUAAUAAACGUUGCAAAGGCUUUGCGUUCUAUGCCAGUUGUUGAUCCACAUAUACCGACACUUUGUCUUGUUGGAUCACCCAAUGUGGGGAAGUCAUCAUUAGUUCGAAUAUUAUCCACUGGAAAACCAGAGGUCUGCAGCUACCCUUUCACAACAAGAGGGAUUCUAAUGGGUCAUAUAGUAUCCAAUCAUGAACGUUUUCAGGUUACUGACACUCCAGGGCUUCUCACAAGACAUGAUGAUGACCGGAAUAACAUAGAGAGAUUGACACUGGCUGUCCUUUCUUACAUGCCAAUUGCUGUUCUGUAUGUCCAUGAUCUAUCUGAAGACUGUGGGACUAAGGUGGCUGAUCAGUACAUCACGUACAAGCAUAUAAAGGAGCGGUUUGGCGACCGUCUUUGGAUCGACGUCGUGUCCAAAUGUGAUCUUCUGGACAGGGCCACGCCCUCCAGGUUCGACGAUGCCGCUGAUGAUGGCGUCGAUGAUGAAUUAAGGAGAUACAGAGAGUUUGGACCGGAAGACGCCAUCCGGGUGUCCGUGCAGAGCCAAACCGGAACACAAGAGCUGAAGCAACGGGUGCAUCAUCUGCUAACCUCUCAGAUGGCCCGGAUCAAAGCUGCCGGGGGCGACAACGAUGAAGCCGUCAGUGAAGUUAGAUGA